UCUGUUCUGCCCUUCUCGACAACCGUGUGAUUUAAUAACCCGAACAAUUUUUUACAAGGGUUUCCUGCUCGGUCGGCAGGUAUGCAGGCCUCCCCUGCGGGGACGAUGGAAGCACAAAACCGAACGGCGGUCACCCACCUGCUUGAGAUGCAGGUUAUUCUCGUCACACGGCGGCUGGGCGGAAUAAAG
rnacentral:other from 1 species